rnacentral:rRNA from 1 species
UACGUAGGGUGCGAGCGUUGUCCGGAAUUAUUGGGCGUAAAGAGCUCGUAGGCGGUCUGUCACGUCGGAUGUGAAAACUCGGGGCUCAACCCCGAGCCUGCAUUCGAUACGGGCAGACUAGAGUUCGGUAAGGGAGACUGGAAUUCCUGGUGUAGCGGUGAAAUGCGCAGAUAUCAGGAGGAACACCGGUGGCGAAGGCGGGUCUCUGGGCCGAUACUGACGCUGAGGAGCGAAAGCGUGGGGAGCGAACAGG